UAAUAUCAAGCAUUUUACUUGGUUCUUAACUCAUAGAAGACUCUCCACCAGGAGCUUUCUACAAUUUAUUGGAAUAAACAGCCCCCUCAUUGCCACUUCUGUGGAUUUGAAUAGUAAUACAUUGACCAUAUCUUUUUUCUCUGUCCCAAUACUGCGUAUUACUGGAAUGUUAUCUUGUCAAAAUCAUUAGCUUCCACACCCUCAAAUAC
rnacentral:lncRNA from 1 species